rnacentral:misc_RNA from 1 species
AACGGUCUAUACCUGCGGUACCUGCGGAGGGAUCAUUACCGAGUUUAGGGUCUCCCCCCCGGGGGCCCGAACCUCCCACCCAAUGUCAACUAUUUUCUGUUGCUUUGGCGGCCGUGAUUGGACCACCCCUCCGGGGGAAUUUCACCGCCGGCCCUCAGCGGGCGAGUGCCGCCAAAAGCCCACUAUUAAAACUUUUUUUUCAAAAUCGAGUCUGAAAGUUUCAAAUUGAAAAUAGCUGAA